UUAGUUAAAGCCAAAAAGAGGCAUAUCACUGUUAAUGAUAGAACUGAAAUAAAAUUUCUAACUAAG
rnacentral:tRNA from 1 species